AUACUUACCUGGCAGGGGAGACACCAUGAUCAAGCAGGUGGUUUUCCCAGGGCGAGGCUCAGCCAUUGCACUUGGGGUGUGUUGACCCCUGCGAUUUCGCGAUUUCCCCAGAUGCGGGAAACUCGACUGCGGAAUUUGUGGUAGUGGGGACGGCGUCUGCGCUCUCCCCU